rnacentral:tRNA from 1 species
AAUAAAUUGCCCGAUUUAAGGCUUAUUUUGAUAAAAUAUGUAAACUAUAAAAAGUAUUUAUUA